GCGGGCACAGUGCACACCGGGGCAGCCACACACAGUUCAUGGACCAUGGCGGCGGCAACGCCAGCACAAGGACUUGGUGGGCGGAAAAGACGUGAUGAUUUAUGGACAUAUUCUACACAUAAUCCAGCAAAAAAUAAAACGGAAUGCCUUGAAGUGGGAGACAGCGGUACACGCUGUGGCUAUAAACUACGUGGCAAGAAUACGACCAACCUCAAGAGGCAUCUAAAGGCUCACCAUGCUGCUAUUUCUGCGACGGGUUAUAGUCAAGACCACCUAAACCAAGACCGAGUCAUUACCAAGACGAGAGUGUAUCGAGACCAAAACAAGAUCAAGACUUUGAGGGGUUGAGACCAAGUCAAGACCAAGACCAAAGCAGGUGACCACGCCCUAUUUAAAGAGGGAGAGCAGAGAGCAGAGGAGCUUCCCCCGAACCAGACGCCGGUUGUGUGUGUGGCUGUCUGUGGUUUCGAACUAAGUUAGACUGAAAAGUGUGACAAUAAAACGGUUCAUCAACCUGA